rnacentral:rRNA from 1 species
GACGAACGCUGGCGGCGUGCCUAAUACAUGCAAGUAGAACGCUGAAGGAGGAGCUUGCUUCUCCGGAUGAGUUGCGAACGGGUGAGUAACGCGUAGGUAACCUGCCUGGUAGCGGGGGAUAACUAUUGGAAACGAUAGCUAAUACCGCAUAACAGUAGAUGUUGCAUGACAUUUGCUUAAAAGGUGCAAUUGCAUCACUACCAGAUGGACCUGCGUUGUAUUAGCUAGUUGGUGAGGUAACGGCUCACCAAGGCGACGAUACAUAGCCGACCUGAGAGGGUGAUCGGCCACACUGGGACUGAGACACGGCCCAGACUCCUACGGGAGGCAGCAGUAGGGAAUCUUCGGCAAUGGACGGAAGUCUGACCGAGCAACGCCGCGUGAGUGAAGAAGGGUUUCGGAUCGUAAAGCUCUGUUGUAAGAGAAGAACGAGUGUGAGAGUGGAAAGUUCACACUGUGACGGUAUCUUACCAGAAAGAGACGGCUAACUACGUG